CCUACGGGCGGCAGCAGUGAGGAAUAUUGGUCAAUGGCCGGAAGGCUGAACCAGCCAUGCCGCGUGAAGGUCGGUGCCCUAUGGGCGUUAAACUUCUUUUGUGCGGGAGCAAUAAUGGUCACGUGUGGCCAGACGAGAGUACCGUACGAAUAAGCAUCGGCUAAGUCCGUGCCAGCAGCCGCGGGAAUACGGGGGAUGCAAGCGUUAUCCGGAUUGAGUGGGUUUAAAGGGUGCGUAAGCUGUGAGGUAAGUCAGCGGGGAAAUGCCCCCGCUCAACGGGGGGAAGUGCCAUUGAUACUGCCUUGCUGGAAUGCGGAUGCGGUGGGAGGAAUGUGUGGUGUAGCGGUGAAAUGCAUAGAUAUCAGACAGAACACCGAGUGCGAAGGCAGCUUACGAAUCCGCGAUUGACGCUGAUGCACGAAAGCGUGGGUAUCAAACAGGAUUAGAUACCCCAGUAGUC
rnacentral:rRNA from 1 species